rnacentral:rRNA from 1 species
GACAAACGCUGGCGGCGUGCUUAACACAUGCAAGUCGAACGGUCUACCUUCGGGUAGAUAGUGGCGGACGGGUGAGUAACACGUAGAUGACCUGCCCUUUAGUGGGGAAUAACUUCUCGAAAGAGAGGCUAAUACCGCAUAAGUUCUACAUCGUUGGGUGUAGAAGAAACCUCUGGCCGUCAAAAGCUGGGGGGCUGAAGGAGGGGUCUGCGGCGGAUUAGCUAGUUGGGUGGGUAACGGCUGCCCAAGGCGACGAUCCGUAGCUGGUCUGAGAGGACGACCAGCCACACUGGGACUGAGACACGGCCCAGACUCCUACGGGAGGCAGCAGUGAGGAAUAUUCCGCAAUGGGCGCAAGCCUGACGGAGCGACGCCGCGUGGGGAAGAAGGCCUUC